GACGAACGCUGGCGGCGCGCCUAACACAUGCAAGUCGAACGAGCGAGAGAGAGCUUGCUUUCUCGAUCGAGUGGCGAACGGGUGAGUAACGCGUGAGGAACCUGCCUCAAAGAGGGGGACAACAGCUGGAAACGACUGCUAAUACCGCAUAAGCCCACGUGUCGCCAUCUACCGGAGGGAAAAGGGGCAAUCCGGUAUGAGAUGGCCGCGCGUCAGAUUAGCUAGUUGGUGAGGUAAUGGCCCACCACGGCGACGAUGGGGAGCCGGACUGGGAGGUUGAACCGCCACAUUGGAGAUAAGGCACGGCCCAGACUCCGAGGGGGGGGAGGAGAGGAGAAUAUUGCACGAGGGGGGAAGCCCUGAUGCAGCGGCGCGGGGGAGAAGGAGAAGGUCUUCGGAUUGUAAACUCGUGUUGUAGGAGGAGAUAAUGACGGUACCCGACAAAGAAGUGACGGCUAACUACGUG
rnacentral:rRNA from 1 species